GUCAGCUGUCCUGACUGUUCCCUCCCAACAUCUUGACCUUCUCUCCAGCCUGCUGAUGAGGGGGAAUGUUGGAGGAACAAGAUUGAUGCCAUGAUACCACCUGACAAAUCAAAUGUUUUGAACCUUGCAAGCCUGACAUCAAACAUCCAGAGUUCAGAAGAACAUUUAAGUGUGCAUUAAAUAAGAGGAUGAAAGACUGCAAUGAAAAGGCAAAUAGUUUCACUUAACAAUUGGCAGCAAUUCAGUGGACAAAAACAAAAGGAUAUAUCAUGGAAACCUUUUCUAUGGCUAAAUCAAAUUGUUUAAUUGCAAGCAAUAUUAAACCCAUUGUUAAGAUAAAUAUUAACCGUGGAGGAAAGCAAAUAUCAGGGAAGACAAGAAUAAAAUGUGGAUACCUUUCCCCCAGCUGUUCUUUAGACUGUUAGAAACUUGGCUCUGCCAUGUUCAUUCUGGAUGUUGCACCUUUGUUCAUGAAAUAUCUUUCCACUCUUUCAUCUGGUCUGGGGCUGUAAUGCUGCUGUCCUGUGGUGGCACCUGAAAAGAACAUGUAAAGAAGACACAGUGAAUAUAUGAA